AUGUCUGUACCGGGCGAGGAGGGGCAGAGAAAAGGCAUCUGGAGGAGGAGGAGGAGGAGGAGGAGGAGGAGGAGGAGGAGGAGGAGGAGGAGGAGGAGGAGGAAGGGAAAGGGGGCUGGAGCAGCGAGACAAAAAGCCCGUCGAGGCUGCCCAGCUCCUGCAGGAGCCGGACCAGCGAGGCUGCCCGCGGCGACUCACCCCCAACGCGGGCUAAAUGGGACGCCGCGUCGGGGCCCCCGAGCCGCGGCCGGCCUCCACCCCCGCGUCGCGCUCCGCGCCCUGCAGCCGCCAGCGGGCAUGGAGCCGCGCGGACCCGCGGAGCCUCCCCUGCCCGCAGCCCCUCACCGACGACGGGCAGGGCUCGCCCCUUCCCCCCGAGCCCACACCAUCCCUCCGCGCCCGCAGGCCUCGCCUCCAGCCCCCUUCCCCUCCCGGGGGGCGUGGGGGCUCGAAUGUGCGUCCCUAAGCCCCCAGCCUCCUAAGCCCCGCAGCCUCCGCGGCGCGCCUCCGGGAAGCCCGGGCACCGAGUCAGCGCCGCGCUCCAGCCGCCCCCUCCGCCCUCUCUGGAGGAGCCGGAGCAACGGCCUCAGAGCCGCAGUGCCGCAGCACACCCCGGCCCCGCCGCCCAGCCGGAGCCGCCGGCCCGCCGUCAAAGGGAGCGCGCUUCUCCCUCCGCGCCCGUAUCCUUCCGCCGACUCCCCGCCCCUCCCGAGCCGCAGGCUCUGGAUUGUGGGAGAAGAAACCGCUGCAUGGGCGCGCCCCCGAGCGCGAGCGCGCGCGCGCCCCCGGGGCCGGCCCCGCCGCCGCCCAGAUUUUGGCGGCGGGCGCGGGCGUGUGCGCGGGCGCGGGCGCGGGCGUGUGCGCGCGCUCGCUGCAGCUGCUGCGGUGCCCCGCGCCCCGCUCGCGCCGGGGACGGCUGCCAGGGCGUGGGGGCGGGGGCUGCAGGCUCGGCCGCUCGUGCCUCCUUACGCUGUGUUUCCUCCCCGAGCGCCCGCUUUGAUGUGCGAAGGAGAGAGAACGAAAUCCUUCCCCUUUAAACGGGAGGGAUGCCGGCAGCCCUUUCUCGGACCCUUGGACUGGGUCUGUUGA
rnacentral:lncRNA from 12 species